UCUCAUGAGUUCCGGGUUUCGCGAUAAACGCAGCCGAUUUUAAACUGGUUCGUUGUCGACGAAACCUGCAAUUAUUGGGA
rnacentral:pre_miRNA from 1 species